rnacentral:rRNA from 1 species
GACGAACGCUGGCGGCGUGCCUAAUACAUGCAAGUAGAACGCUGAAGAGAGGAGCUUGCUCUUCUUGGAUGAGUUGCGAACGGGUGAGUAACGCGUAGGUAACCUGCCUUGUAGCGGGGGAUAACUAUUGGAAACGAUAGCUAAUACCGCAUAACAAUGGAUGACACAUGUCAUUUAUUUGAAAGGGGCAAUUGUUCCACUACAAGAUGGACCUGCGUUGUAUUAGCUAGUAGGUGAGGUAAUGGCUCACCUAGGCGACGAUACAUAGCCGACCUGAGAGGGUGAUCGGCCACACUGGGACUGAGACACGGCCCAGACUCCUACGGGAGGCAGCAGUAGGGAAUCUUCGGCAAUGGGGGCAACCCUGACCGAGCAACGCCGCGUGAGUGAAGAAGGUUUUCGGAUCGUAAAGCUCUGUUGUAAGUCAAGAACGGGUGUGAGAGUGGAAAGUUCACACUAUGACGGUAGCUUACCAGAAAGGGACGGCUAACUACGUGCCAGCAGCCGCGGUAAUACGUAGGUCCCGAGCGUUGUCCGGAUUUAUUGGGCGUAAAGCGAGCGCAGGCGGUUUGAUAAGUCUGAAGUUAAAGGCUGUGGCUCAACCAUAGUUCGCUUUGGAAACUGUCAAACUUGAGUGCAGAAGGGGAGAGUGGAAUUCCAUGUGUAGCGGUGAAAUGCGUAGAUAUAUGGAGGAACACCGGUGGCGAAAGCGGCUCUCUUGGUCUGUAACUGACGCUGAGGCUCGAAAGCGUGGGGAGCGAACAGGAUUUAGAUACCCUGGUAGUCCACGCCGUAAACGAUGAGUGCUAGGUGUUGGAUCCUUUCCGGGAUUCAGUGCCGCAGCUAACGCAUUAAGCACUCCGCCUGGGGAGUACGACCGCAAGGUUGAAACUCAAAGGAAUUGACGGGGGCCCGCACAAGCGGUGGAGCAUGUGGUUUAAUUCGAAGCAACGCGAGGAACCUUACCAGGUCUUGACAUCCCGAUGCUAUUUCUAGAGAUAGAAAGUUACUUCGGUACAUCGGUGACAGGUGGUGCAUGGUUGUCGUCAGCUCGUGUCGUGAGAUGUUGGGUUAAGUCCCGCAACGAGCGCAACCCCUAUUGUUAGUUGCCAUCAUUCAGUUGGGCACUCUAGCGAGACUGCCGGUAAUAAACCGGAGGAAGGUGGGGAUGACGUCAAAUCAUCAUGCCCCUUAUGACCUGGGCUACACACGUGCUACAAUGGUUGGUACAACGAGUUGCGAGUCGGUGACGGCGAGCUAAUCUCUUAAAGCCGAUCUCAGUUCGGAUUGUAGGCUGCAACUCGCCUACAUGAAGUCGGAAUCGCUAGUAAUCGCGGAUCAGCACGCCGCGGUGAAUACGUUCCCGGGCCUUGUACACACCGCCCGUCACACCACGAGAGUUUGUAACACCCGAAGUCGGUGAGGUAACCUUUUGGAGCCAGCCGCCUAAGGUGGGACAGAUGAUUGGGGUGA